CGUAGGUGAACCUGCGGAAGGAUCAUUACCGUACGAUAAGAGGCCGCCAGGGCUGUCGCUGACCUCUCAAGGUCGUGCACGUCUUGGGCGGUCCUCGCACAAUCCAUCACACCUUUGUGCAUCACCGCGUGGGUUUCCUUCCAGGUCUGUUUGAUUUGGAAAGGGGGCUUGCGUUUUUCACACACAGACCUUUGUAUAGUAUAGAAUGUGUCAUAUCUUGCGGUUAUACGCAAAUCAAUAUAACUUUCAACAACGGAUCUCUUGGCUCUCGCAUCGAUGAAGAACGCAGCGAAAUGCGAUACGUAAUGUGAAUUGCAGAAUUCAGUGAAUCAUCGAAUCUUUGAACGCACCUUGCGCCCCUUGGCAUUCCGAGGGGCACACCCGUUUGAGUGUCGUGAAAUCCUCAACCCUCUCUGAUUUUCUUGAAUCAGGGGGAAGGCUUGGACUUUGGAGGCUUUUGCUGGCCUUUCUUCAUCUCUUGAAAGGCCAGCUCCUCUUAAAUGAAUUAGCAGGGUCAUCUCUGUCGAUCCUCGACGUGAUAAGCCAUUUCUACGUCCUUGGGAGGCAAGAGACCUGCUUCUAAUCGUCUUUUUGACACACGAAAACCCUUUUGACCUCAAAUCGGGUGAGACUACCCGCUGAACUUAAGCAUAUCAAUAAGCGGAGGAAAAGAAACUAACGAGGAUUCCCCUAGUAACUGCGAGUGAAGCGGGAAAAGCUCAAAUUUAAAAUCUGGCGGUCUUUGGC
rnacentral:rRNA from 1 species